UUGUUUUUCACUCUUUCUCUUUCUUUCCGAGAACUCUCCGAACCCAGAGACCGUUCUCUUUUAUUUCCCAGAAAUCUCAUAAAUCAAAACCUUCCCUUGUAAUCAACAACUCCACUCAUAAUCAAAACCCAAAGAUCUCUUUAGUUGAAAAUCUAAGGAAACCAAAUCAAGCCCUAGAAAUAUCAUCUAAAACCUAGAAAUUUAAUUUUGUUCCUGAAAUCGAAAAGCAAUUCAUCUAUAGUUGAUUGCUUUGUUGAUGUUCAAGAGGUAUCUUUGGCUUCUAUAGGCGAACUUCAGAGGUUCAGGUUUGAGUGCAAUUUUCGACUAUUGUGGGCAGUCCUGUGUUUGUAGUCUUUGAAGGAUUGAUUUUAAUUUUCUUCCACCAUUGGUAGAGUGGGUACUUCUCUGACCCAGUGGGAGUAGACCGAGGCCGAGUCAGUGAACCCCCAAGGUGUAAUAAGGAAGAGUGUCAUGCCUUGAACUCCAUGGCUUUGGUUCAUAACCGUUGCGGGUUUGCUGACAAGCAGAUAGUGAGACUGCAAGAGAUACCAGAUGAUAUUCCAGAAGGGGGUACUCCCCACACGGUUAUCUUAUUAAUGCAUGACAAACUUAUUGAUGCUGGAAAGCCCGGUGAUAGAGUUGAGGUCACUGGUAUAUAUAGGGCAAUGAGUGUUAGAGUUGGACCAACACAAAGAUCGGUGAAAUCUUUGUUCAAGGCAUGUGCUUUAAGUCUUUAAGAUUCGAAAUGUCACUAAUCUUGAUGAGGACUGAACUGAUCGAUUAUAUGUCAUUUCAGACUUACGUAGAUUUUCUUCAUAUAAAGAAGACCGAUAAAUCUAGAAUGCAGGCUGAGGAUUAAAUAGAACAUCUUAAUGCCUCUGACAACAUGAACGAAGAUGUACCCGCUUACUUUCAAGACAAGAUUGAACAGUUAAAAGAGCUUGCAAAAUCCAUAAGGGAUUCUCAUUUACAAUAUGUAAACAACUGAAGGUGCAGAAAUCUGGAAUGGUAUAUUUAUGCAGGUGCAGAAAUCUGGCGGAACAAUAGCAGGAUUUUUUUUUCACCUGUAAAAAUUGUGCAACGGAUAUACACGUUGGAAAUUUAAUACGUUGCUUUCAAUUGCUUCCAUGAGCAACGGUACUAAAAACAACAUAACGUUGCAGAAUUUUGUAGUGGAACUAUUUAACCGUUUGUCCAAUCCAAAGAAACGUUGCUCAAAUUAAAGAUUUAUGUUGCUUAAA